CCAGACUCCUACGGGAGGCAGCAGUGAGGAAUAUUGGUCAAUGGACGGGAGUCUGAACCAGCCAAGUAGCGUGAAGGAUGACUGCCCUAUGGGUUGUAAACUUCUUUUAUAUGGGAAUAAAACAGGGUAUGCAUACCCUCUUGUAUGUACCAUAUGAAUAAGGAUCGGCUAACUCCGUGCCAGCAGCCGCGGUAAUACGGAGGAUCCGAGCGUUAUCCGGAUUUAUUGGGUUUAAAGGGAGCGUAGAUGGGUUGUUAAGUCAGUUGUGAAAGUUUGCGGCUCAACCGUAAAAUUGCAAUUGAUACUGGCAGCCUUGAGUACAGUUGAGGUAGGCGGAAUUCGUGGUGUAGCGGUGAAAUGCUUAGAUAUCACGAAGAACUCCGAUUGCGAAGGCAGCUUACUAAACUGCCACUGACAUUGAUGCUCGAAAGUGUGGGUAUCAAACAGGAUUAGAUACCCCAGUAU
rnacentral:rRNA from 1 species